rnacentral:rRNA from 1 species
GAUGAACGCUGGCGGCGUGCCUAAUACAUGCAAGUCGAGCGAACAGACGAGGAGCUUGCUCCUCUGACGUUAGCGGCGGACGGGUGAGUAACACGUGGAUAACCUACCUAUAAGACUGGGAUAACUUCGGGAAACCGGAGCUAAUACCGGAUAAUAUAUUGAACCGCAUGGUUCAAUAGUGAAAGACGGUUUUGCUGUCACUUAUAGAUGGAUCCGCGCCGCAUUAGCUAGUUGGUAAGGUAACGGCUUACCAAGGCAACGAUGCGUAGCCGACCUGAGAGGGUGAUCGGCCACACUGGAACUGAGACGCGGUCCAGACUCCUACGGGAGGCAGCAGUAGGGAAUCGUACGCAAUGGGCGAAAGCCUGACGGAGCAACGCCGCGUGAGUGAUGAAGGUCUUCGGAUCGUAAAACUCUGUUAUUAGGGAAGAACAAAUGUGUAAGUAACUAUGCACGUCUUGACGGUACCUAAUCAGAAAGCCACGGCUAACUACGUG